rnacentral:misc_RNA from 1 species
UGAUGAUAUAAAAUGCAUGCAUCAGAGAUUGCUCUCCUGUUCAUAAAUUCUCUAUCCAACCCAGCAAUGUAGAUUCCUCUCUUAAUUAUAAGAAAAUUUAUAUGUUGCACUCACGAGUUCAAGCCAAAGAAAUAGUCUUAUAGAAAGCAGAGGUAAGACUACUUACGUCAACCAGAGCUCACAAAUGUGAAAUAUUUCAUCCACCCUUUUCUUCUCUUAUACUACUCCAACCCCUAAUCUACAUUGCAACUUAAGAUUUGUAUCGUAAUUUUACAAUUUUAUGUUGCAAUUGAUUAAAUCAUGAUGCAAAUCACCAAAGACUAUCAUACAAUUAAAUUUGUCAGCUUUUUUUUGCUAAUCAAAAUAUUUCAUUUAUGGGCUUUUCACUUUAUUUAUUGAGAAAUUCUUGCCUAGACCAAAUUUACUAUGAACUCAAGAAACAAUUAUGUGAUACUCAUAUAUUUAAUGAAUAGGUCCUAUUAUACAUCUUGUGUCUGGGGUCCUGAUAAGAAAA